CUCUCUCUCUCUCGCUCUCUCCCUCUCUCUCUCUCCCUCUCUCUGAGUAAGAGGCAUGUGAUAUACUCCACAGACAGAGCAGCUUCAUCUCUCUCAGCUGUAUAGUUUCACCUGCGCUUUACUUUAUACCUGCUGAAAAUAACUCUGCCCAGCUUGCCGGGGCCACACCUCAUGACUCACACCCGCGUGAGACAGACACGCACAUGCACACAUGCAAGUUCACGCUCGACACUUCUUUCAGCAAUAAACACUAGCAGGACACUGAAACUAUUAUUAGACUAUUUUAUUUAUUUAUUUAUUUUCUUAAAAUAUUUAUUUUCCUUAAAAUCAGUCCACAUUGAUUUAUUGCCUUUAACAUUAUUAGCGUUGCAAACUUUAUAACAUUGCAAAAGCUAUAAUAUAGUAUAAAACAGUAAAACCAAAUAAGGGAUAAAAACAAAGAAAACAUUCAUGUAUAGUAAUUUAAUGAUACAUAUUUUGAAAUAGUUCAAUUGUAACUUUCAUCAAUUUGAGGUAUUUCUAAGCAGAGUAUCUGUUGAAGAGCGUUUAGUUAAAUGAGGGAGAAACCUUCACGCUAUAAUAACCUGUCUGUCACCCUCCUGUAAAUGUGCGGGUAAAGACGAUGUUGUUGUGUCUGGACCGCCCUCGAGCGCACCAUUCAUGUUUAUACUUCCAGAGGGGGAAUUCUUCAGCGAAAGGCCUGCGAGAUGACUAACUCCCCCUGGAAAGUACACAGAUCUCCUGGAGGGUGGGGGAACGCAGGUGUGGCAGGAAGCUCGGCCUGGAAGUAUCCAUUCCGGGGAAGGGUGGUGUUUACCGAUGGAGGAAAUUUGGGGAAAUGUAUUUGCACAAGAAAAUCUGCGUAUGGCACAUGUGGAUGCCUUUGGACGGCUUCCUGGACUUUUAAGAGGUUUCACGGUCAGUGUUUGGUCAGCACGUACUGCUAAGAAACGCCCAACAUGAUGUCAUUUACUCAUUACCACGUGAUUCCAAUCCUGCGUGUUUAUAUUUCUGCUGUGGAACACGCAAUGACAUGCUUUGACAUGAGUCUUUAAUGUGCAAUAAAACAAUGUAUAUGAUUGAAAAUAGACUACAUAAAAGUGUAGUAUUUCUAUUUUUCAUUCUUUAAACCUUUUGAUUCGAAGGCUUAUGUUUGAAUGGUUCAAAUUAAUGAAGAACAAUUUUGCCAACAUUUACAUCUUUUCAUUACAAACGCUUUUGUAUUCCUGCUGCUCAACUGGUUAAGCAUCAUCCUUGCAACGCCGAAAGUCACAUUAAUGUGUACCUUAAAUGCACUGUGAGAUGCACAUAAAUAAAUUCGACCAAACCCAUAUUUAUGUGCUCAGUGUAAGAACUAACCAAUGCAUCUGACAACAAAACAAAUUCAGGUGUGUUCCUCACAAGACUGAAUAUGUUGCGCCGGAACUAUUUUUAUCUUGCUUUUGUGCUGUGUGAGAGAAAGAACAUCGUAGGAGUUGGACAUGAGAGUGAGCACAUAAGACCAACUUUAAUUUUUCACUAAACUAUCUUUGGAUAUUGCAAGACAGCUUUUUAGAGGGACAGUUCACCCAAAAAAGAAAAUUCUGUCAUCCUUUCCUCACCUCCGAGUUGUUCCAAAUGUGUAUACAUGUCUUUGUUCUGAUGAACGCAGAGAAAGAUAUUUGGAAGAAUGCUUAUAACCAGACAGAUCUCGCCCCCCACAGACUCCCAUAGUAGGACAAAAGAAGAGAUUUUGAAGAAUGUAGGACAGCACACAGUUCGUUGUAUUUCUUCCUACUAUGGGAGAUUUUGAACAACUCGGAGGUGAGUAAAUGAGGACAGAAUUUUCUUUUUUGGGUGAACUGUCGCUUUAACAACCGAGCAGGUGGCAUCUUCCAAAGCAGGCAGAUUUACCGCAGCCACACGGGAAAUAGAGAUGUUUCCAAUCAGGCCGUCCAAUAACAGCGGUGAUCAAAGCUGUGUGUUUAUUCUUCUGGAGGAUUUGGGUGACACGCUUUUUCCAUGACUCUGAGGUCCAGCUCAUGUACAGAGAGAAGUCUCCACUGCCCCUGCCCCCUUCCUGGAAACAGCUGCGAGGAGAGAGAAAGGCACAGAGAAGAGAAGGAAGGCUAUAAAGUUUAGGGCUGGAUGUGUGGUUUUGGUCUAGAUUACCAGCAGCGCGAAGUUUCUCUUCCCACUUUACUACGAGAAGUCCCCUGUCGCAUAGAGGCCAACACAUGGCUGUUCAGACACAUUCUGUAUCCACACACUAAUGUUGGGUCUGUGUUGGGUGUUUUUCACUUUUACAACACAAGGAAGCGCAGGAGAUAAUAACAACAUCAACAUUAAUGUGCUUCUGCUUGUCUUUGUCUUGUUGUUUUCUUCCCAACAGAAGACACGUUGGACUUUGUUUUUUCUGUUAUGCAAGCCAUUGAAUCUCAGAGCAGACCUGAGCGGUUUUGUUUUGAUGUGCUAGGAAAGAUCGAUCAGAAAAGACAGAGAACCGCGUUGUGCAAUGUUUGACAUUUUGGGGGUUUGACAUUUGCAAAAGAUAACAUCAACAUGUGGUCCCAACAGUAUUUGGACUCUUGCGAAUGUUUGAACACCAUUGCAUUAGAUAACACGAUAUUACAGCAGGUGACUUCUGCAAACAAGUGAUUUUCUCAGAACGUUUUAAGGUUUACUGGUGUGGAUGUGAGAUUUACUGGAUGUAUGAAGUCAGUUCCUCUCAUGUGUCCUUGCAGUGGAACCACAGGUGUCUAUACUGUCAACUCCGAAUAUGUUUGACAACGACAAAAUAUCUUGCUUUGAGUUGAUACGUUUAUUGUGUCUACAGUGACGCACGAACAUUGACCUUGAACAUCAUCCUAUCUCAGAAAGAAAAAUCACAGAUGAGAUCUCUUUAAUAUCUUUAUCAUUUUUUAGAGACAUCAGUGACAUUAAACCGAGAGCAAAAGGAAUCUCAUCUACGUCUCAGAUAUUUCUCCUAAGAAAAAGUGUCAGAAAUCGGACAAAUUUGUCUGUCAUUAGAGUUUGAGAAGAGAUGUGUGAGCUCAGAUUGGUCUCGUCUGCAAUCAAAAGUCAAUAUGAUUGAAGAUCUCAAUAUCAACUCAUUUCUCAUCGAAAGAUUAUUUGACAUCUACAAACUACAUUCAUUUUAUUUGGUCGAUACUUAAAUAAUUAGUCAAUAAUUAAUACUUCAUUUUUGCUUUUUUAAACCAAGCAAACGAAUCCACAUUUGUGCACAGAUGCUGAUGUUGCUUUUAUGAGCCCGUGCGUGCUGUCCGGUUACUGUUAUAUUGUAUUAUUGUAGUUUCUGUUUUGUCUUGUAAUGAGUUGUCGUGACUCAUGAAUGCAGGUGUCAGUGCCUGUAAAAUUGAUCUUUAUGCCCCACAUUUAAUCAAACACGCCAGCUCAGCCAUCAGUCCAUCAACACCCUGAAUAAAGAACAUCGUAAAUCUCGCGAAACUCGUACAGCAGCAUAUUUGCGUGCUGACUUUCACUGUCACACUUUGCUUGUCUGCACAAUUACUUGCCGUGUCUUUAAUUUCAUGGCCUUCUCUUCCAGUGUUCUGAGCUCAAACCUGCCGGUCAGGUUGAUGCAGUAAAGUCUGGAUGACGUGCAGGGCUCGUGUGAGGGGCUUUCAUGCGUUCAUGUAAAUAACAACACUUCAGGUGAACUGCGACCUACUUUAUUUGUUUGUUUGUUCAGAAAAAUGUACAAAACACAUAAUGCACGAUAACAUAAGAGAUGUAUGACAUGGAUAAAUGGAAUGUGCUGAAGAACAAUUCAUGUUCAAGUCAAUAUUUAGAUCUGUUUUACGUAAGCAAGCACUAUGAAAAUCUUGUUAUUGUAGUCUUCAUGUACUGGGUCAUUCCUGUACUGCGGGAUAUUUUUAUUUAAUGCCAAAAACACUUACUGUCAAUUCAUUUUUUUUUUCAUUUCUCAGUGUUCCUUAACGUUUAUUAUCUUCUAAGUUACUCAGUAUAACUUUCCAGCUUGUUUUUUUGUGACAUACCCUCAUAACAUCCUUCAGGAAGUGACAUCAUUCUGGUAGGAAAACAACAACUUGCAAUGAUUUUGAUCAUUUCUUUAAUGUUUGUCAUAUCGGUUGGUUUGUUGCACUCUUAAAUGCUCCAUUUAGUUUGAUAGAAUUACAGGAAUAAGUAAAAAAAACUACGGCAGUCAAAAGUGCCCCAGAACUGUUUGCUGUAUUACAUUCUUCAAAACGUCUUCUUUUGUGUUCAACAGAAGAACAAAAAUGAUAAAGUAUUAUUUCCUACUAUGGGAGUCAAUGGGCAUUCUUCCAAAUAUCUUUCUCUGCGUUGAUCAGAACAAAGACAUUUAUACACAUUUGGGAUGAUGACAGAAUGUACAUUUUUGGGUGAAGAAAUUCUUUCUUAUGAGCUCAUAAUCUCUCAGUGUUUACUAGCACAGCAUGCUCUGAUAGUCUAUCACCUGUACAAUAGUGUUGAAUAAUAUAACAGGUCCACGACAAGAAAAGAUGUAUGUUAAAGAACAGACUACUUUUUUAACAAACCCAUGAGAUUAGUGUCAGAAACAUCAGCUGGGAGCGUGAGCCCUGCUGCUGUUAGAUGUGCAUCUCACAACUGUGUUUUUCACAUUAGAAACCUGAGAGAUGCUGGACUGGUAGGAGGUCCUGACAGCGUUCACAACAGAAGCACUCCCGAGCUGAAACUGUUGCCUGAAAUUAGCUGUUUGGCUUGUGGUUAAAAAGAUGGGUCACCAAAAAAAUGCAUUCUUUCAAUGAACAAUUCACCCCAAAAUGAAAAAUCUGGUAGCAAUUUCUCACCCUCGUGUUGUUGCAAAGUCUUUCUGCGUUCUGUGGCUGUUAACCUUCAGAGAGGACAGCAAAACACUAGAGAAGCAUGGUAAGGGUUCCAAGAGUCUUCUGGAAGAGACUUUAUUCACUGUACAUCUUGCCUUUCAAAUGUGAAGAUGGAAAGUCAAACAGGUUUGGACAUUAAGACGAUUGAAAGAAUACAUUUUAAUUUUCAGAUGAACAUCUCCUCUGAAUCUAUAAGGCAGACACUUUUAGACUUACAGAAAAUACGACACGGACCAGGCCAGAUUCAAACCUAUAAGCAAAAAUCCUCUUUAUUUCUUAUUAUCUCAUACUCUUUAUUAUUAGACAUAUUUAUACAGUAUAUAUGCUUUAUAAUCAAUGUUUUCCUGCACGUGACGAUACAUUUAUUUACACACAUUUUGUCUGCAUGUCUGAUACUGUAAAGUGUUUUUUUUCACCCAUCAAUACGUUUACACGGCAGCUGAAUGUGGAUUUAUCUCUUUCAGUGUCAUGAAGACAGAGAAACAGGCUUCCGCUUGUUCUUAUAUCUCAUAUAGAACUAUUGUUUUGUUUGUUUUAACAUAAUAGUUACUGUAUACGAUACAAACUGUUGAUAUACUAUUUUGGCACUUCAAGUAUACUACUAUGUCCCUAUUCACGUAAUAAUUGUUACUCGAGCUUGGCUCCAAUAUGACAUAACUCUAAAAUCUAAAAUCAUGUUUUUAUUGUGAUUUCCAAUGAAUUUCAAUCAAACUGCAGUUGGUUUGUUUUGAUUUUAGCCAUUGUAACAAAAAACAACUAACUAACACAAUAAAUAAUAAUAAAAACAUGAUUUUUGAAAAAAAAAUGCAGUUAUCUCAUUUUGGAACCAAACUCUUCAAAUAUACCUUUACCUGUACUGUAAGUAGAUGGGAAGUAAAUCAAUUUCAAUUUAAGGGUGCUUUAUUGGCAUGACAAAAUGUACAUUCGUAUUGCCAAAGCAUUUGCAUCCGGGCUGCUUACAAAUAGUGCAAGUCUAAACAAACGAAACGAAAGAUAAUAAUAGUAAUAAAAUAAAAUGGAAUAAAAUAAUCUUCAUCAAACGUUUACAUUUAUGUAUACUAGUCAAGUGUACUGAAGUGUAAUGUGAAGUGUAUUUCUGAAUUUUAGUCCUCAAAAAAGGAAUAUACUGUCAUCAGCUGCCUCUGUCAGGUCAUUGCAAACUCAUGAUCGCUCAUGAUUUUCUCUUUCAGGGAACAGAAAGGGAACAAAUUGAAAUACGAUUGAUGCACUUAAAUGUGUUCUCUAUCACAGUGGCUUUCACAAAGCCCAGAGAGAGAAGAAAAUGGCAUUGCUCAGGUCAGGUCGACCACAUGACACGCGGUGUACUGGUGCCAAAGCGUUCUCCCAGGUGAGCUGAUAAGCACGUGUCGAGAUGUUGGCUUACUGGAAAUUCUCAGUGUGAAUGAAGUCAAUAGAGGAAGACAUUUGUCUGGGGUCUUAACCACAAUAUCCUGAGCAUUCAGCCUCUCUUGUGCGCAGGGGUUAGUUGUGUACAGUCAAACACCUGUGUGCGUGUGUGUGUGCGUGUGUGUGUGUGUGUGUGCGCUCUUCUGAAGGCUGCUAAUUUCCUGAAUGAUGUGGCCUUACGCAGCUAGACGUUGCGCUUGGACCCAGCUGGCUGUUUGGAAACCACGAUGAUGUACUGAGUUUAAAAUUGGGAUGGAUUUCAAAGAAAAGAGCAUUUGCAUCCUUGCACACUUGACAGAAGCCUUUUAACAAUCACGACUUCUCCAGUUCAUGUCCCAGCAUGGCUAACUGAGUCAUGUAAACACAUGACUGUAAAAACCUCCCUUCAAAGUAUAAAUGCAGUCACGUGAGCAUACCCUGAAUGGCUCAAUGCAAAGAUAUGGAAUUAUGACGGAGUAUUUUGCCAGGCUGUGAAAGGUACCGUACUUUCCAUCUACAGAUGAGCGCUGAUAGGCCGUCGUUUGGAGGAAGAGAGAGUUUCCAGUUCUCAUGCGAAACAAAUGAAUUCGUUGUAUUCAAUAUCUUGUGUCUCAAUGUUGACUAAGAGGAUUGUAUGCUGGGUGUAAGUGACUGUGCUUUUACUGAUUUAAUUCAACAUAUUGUGUGUUUCUUUUCACCUGUUAAUUUCGCUGACACCACAUAAAAUACUUUUACAUAGAAUAGAAUACGUUUUGGCCUGUAAUUGUUGCAAAGCAAUGAGACACCGUUUUUCAUGAUACACUGCAGUAAUGUCACUUUGAACUGGAAUGGUAAUAUGUAUUUUUAUUUUACGUACAUUAUAUUUAUCAAGAGAAUAUUUGAGUGUUUACAGUAACAUGUUUUUUAUAGUGUGGGUAUAUUAAUUCAUAUUCUUUUUUAUUGUAUCUGUCCAUCUACACAUUGAUUCACUGUAAAAAAAUCCAACUUGCAAAAUGUUCACCCUACAAAGAUAAAUAAGUAACUUGAACAUAGAAUGUUUAGUUUAAUGAGUCAAAUUAUUGUUUGGCAUAUACUGAACAAUAUUAGCCUAAACAUGUUUCUAAUAAAGAUUAUUUUGUUGACUAGACUUAGACUCUCAAGUUUUUGGCCAAAAUACAUCAGAAAGGUAAAACAGUGUAUUCUGAACAAACAAUAAGAGAUGCAUUGCAGCAUGUUCAAUUCUGUUUCUUUUAAAGAUGAACGUUUUAGUUCUUGCUGGCUUAGUUUAUGCUUAAAUAUUGUUGUUACUGUUGUGUUUAAGAGUUUUUUUUAUGAAUGAUGGUUUUUGAUUGCUUGAGGUGUAAGUGCAUGACACAACAGCAAAACUGGUAUAAAUGCACUCAACACAAACUGUUACACAGUUAUUUGAUCAUUGUUUUGGUCUGUUUGAGGCAGAAAACAUGUCCAAUUCUAGUAAAAGACAAAUACAUUUGUUUAUUUUUAAAUCUAUAUUCCUCUAUUUAUGUUCAGCCAACAAAAAACAUUUUGUUCUGUUGUUCAUUAAGCUUGAUGUUGUGACAACUAAUGACUUAAACAUACAUUUUUAUGUCUCUGUUUGUUGAGUUAACUCAAAAACAUGCUUGUGAUAGGUUGCCUUAUUAUUUUAAGUUGACUCAACUACUUUUUACAGUGUUCAUUUAGCAAUAAUGUAAUUUAUAGCACACUGUGCAGUGUUUCAUAGUUUUAUUAUACAUUUAAUUUUUUGUUACUUAAAGGGUCUGUUCUGACCGUUACUGUGAUUGAUGUUUGAAGAAUUCAUUUUCUUUCAGGGAAUUAAUAAAAGU